rnacentral:rRNA from 1 species
UACGGGGGGUGCGAGCGUUGUCCGGAAUCACUGGGCUUAAAGCGUGUGUAGGUGGAUGCCUAAGUACCUUGUGAAAUCCCACGGCUUAACCGUGGAACUGCUUGGUAUACUGGGUGUCUUGAGCCAGCUAGGGGCUACCGGAACAAAUGGUGGAGCGGUGAAAUGCGUAGAUAUCAUUUGGAACGCCAAUGGUGAAAACAGGUAGCUGGGGCUGUGCUGACACUGAGACACGAAAGCCAGGGGAGCGAACGGG